rnacentral:rRNA from 1 species
AAACGACUCUCGGCAACGGAUAUCUUGGCUCACGCAUCGAUGAAGAACGUAGCAAAAUGCGAUACUUGGUGUGAAUUGCAGAAUCCCGUGAACCAUCGAGUUUUUGAACGCAAGUUGCGCCCAAAGCCAUCCGGCCGAGGGCACGCCUGUCUGGGCGUCACG